rnacentral:lncRNA from 1 species
UAUCGCAACCUUUUAAAAUAAGGAAAUAAAUUUAGUACGUCAAGCCAUGGAAAUCUAGAAUAACUGGAACGCUCAAGCGUUGAAAAAAAGAAAAGAAAAUUUCCGUUAUGAGGCUAUUGUUUUUCCCUCGUGUUUACAUACUCAACAGCGUAUUUAGUAUUUAUGUAAUACAGCUUUGUUGAUCAUAAUUAAAACCUGCGUUGCUGACAAAAAUCUCAGUUAAUUAAUAUAAUAUUUGCUUAUUUAAAUAAAGCUUGUGAAUUACAUGUGAUUGUGUGCUUUUCUAUCUCUUCUACGAUCUACUUUUGAGCACAAUCAUGCCUAAUAAGUGUUGCGUUCCUAAGUGCUCCUCCGGAUAUGAUGGAAAACCAGCCAUAGCAAGGUUAUCCCUCCAUUCUUUUCCACUGGAUGAAUCCUCAAAAGGUGUCUGGCUUAGAGCCAUUCCACGGGACAGUAAUGGGACUUAGGCACCUUCUAAGUAUUCAAGGGUAUGUUCUCUCCAUUUUCACGAGAAUGACUUUGUAUAUGAGAGCGCAGACCACAAGAGGAAAUAUUGAUCUUAUGGAGUUGAUGAUAGUAAGCUCCAAAAACGUUACUUUAAACCCUCUGCAGUGCCUAGUAUUUUCCCCAAUCUUCGGCAAUACUUUUCAUCCGUCAAAAGUCAACAGCCUACAUCGAGAACUACCACAUCAGCCAGGAUUUCUAAGGAAAAUGAAGCUAUCGUUGAAGCUCAACGAUCAUUAUUCCUUAAAGAUUCUGUUAUUGACUUUAGUGAUUUAGUGAAGUGUUGAGAUCAAAAAUACCCGACGAAUGUUCAUUGGAGGAGGACGGAGUAUUCAAUUCAGUUUUACUGUCUAUCUGAAUUGUGUUCUGAUUUUGUCGAAAUCGAAUUCUCAGUGAUGAUAAAUAGUGAUUUGACAUUCAAUUUAUACCACGAGAACGUCAACUAGGUUGGAGCUGCGUGAAUCACCUCACAACGAAUAGAAAGAUCACCUCGGUAAGCCUUCUCCAGAACAUCUUUGCUCACAUGAAGAGUAUUCCUUUUCCUCCAAUGAAAGAUAUGAUUAAUCACUCAAUCAAUGAAGUUGAGAGUAUUGUUGAAAAUAUGUAUCCAUCGGAUAUAGACUCUCACAAACGGAAAAAGUUGAUUUUCAUAAGAGAGCAACUUGCUUUGAUAAACUCUACAUCGAAACAGAAGGUCUGAGUGACAUAAAAAAUAUUCAUUCUGACUGAUAAAAAACAAGAUUUAAACCAAGAAGAAAAGAUUUGUAUUGAUAAAAUUUUAUCGACUUUACAAUCCACAGUGUUUAGUUUUGAAUUAGAUGAUGACAAAAAUCGAUUUUAUUCUUUGUUCCAGGCUAUAUAGCCAUAUCCCUAUCCUUAAAGUUAAAAUGUAAUUUAUGUGAAGCCAAACUUGUGUUCUCAAAAAGUAUUCCUCAAGUUAGUUUGGACACAUCAAUUAAGGAGUGUUCGAAAAGCAAGCUCCUCGAUCAAAUUAAUAGAGGAGGACUGGUCACUCCAAGCGAUGACUUAUUUUCGAUUGUCACACAAAUUUAUUGUUUAUAUAACUUUAUUAAUUCAAGUGAAAAUGCAAAAUCUAUUUUUUUUCAAUGCAACAAUUUAAGAAAAGUAUUUAAAAAAAAUAUGGUGUGAAAUUAAUUACGAACUAAUAAUAAUUAAACAAAAUUGAUCUAAUCGUCAUAUUUUUAAAGAUUUAUUUUUUAGCAUUAGUUGCCAAGUUUUCAAUAUUAUGACCAAGAAUUUGUCUAAAAAAAUAAAUGAUUAAAAUUAAUUUGAAAAGGUUGCACGGCAAUGUAUAAUAACAGAAUAAAAAAAUUGUUAAACUUACUUCCCAAAAAAAUAUAUAUAUGUUCUGUCUUGUGAUAUUAUGAUAGUUGUCAAUAAUUCCUUAAUUUAUUUAAAAUAAUAAAUAAUAGUUGUUAA